AGAAAUGUCAAACAAGGAUGUCACACCAGAAACUCAGACAUGACAUCACUUCCAAAGGUUUGAAACUCCUCCAUAUGGAUUGGGUGGGACUCAUGCAGGUGGAAAACCUUGGUGGAAAGAAGUGUGCAGUGGUAAAUGACUUCUCCAAAUACACCUGGACCAAAAACAAAUCUGAUGUGGUUGAAAUCUUCAAAGAUUGUUG
rnacentral:lncRNA from 1 species